rnacentral:rRNA from 1 species
AGAGUUUGAUCCUGGCUCAGGACGAACGCUGGCGGCGUGCUUAACACAUGCAAGUCGAACGGGAAGGCCCUGCUUUUGUGGGGUGCUCGAGUGGCGAACGGGUGAGUAACACGUGAGUAACCUGCCCUUGACUUUGGGAUAACUUCAGGAAACUGGGGCUAAUACCGGAUAGGAGCUCCUGCUGCAUGGUGGGGGUUGGAAAGUUUCGGCGGUUGGGGAUGGACUCGCGGCUUAUCAGCUUGUUGGUGGGGUAGUGGCUUACCAAGGCUUUGACGGGUAGCCGGCCUGAGAGGGUGACCGGCCACAUUGGGACUGAGAUACGGCCCAGACUCCUACGGGAGGCAGCAGUGGGGAAUAUUGCACAAUGGGCGGAAGCCUGAUGCAGCAACGCCGCGUGCGGGAUGACAGCCUUCGGGUUGUAAACCGCUUUCGCCUGUGACGAAGCGUGAGUGACGGUAAUGGGUAAAGAAGCACCGGCUAACUACGUGCCAGCAGCCGCGGUGAUACGUAGGGUGCGAGCGUUGUCCGGAUUUAUUGGGCGUAAAGGGCUCGUAGGUGGUUGAUCGCGUCGGAAGUGUAAUCUUGGGGCUUAACCCUGAGCGUGCUUUCGAUACGGGUUGACUUGAGGAAGGUAGGGGAGAAUGGAAUUCCUGGUGGAGCGGUGGAAUGCGCAGAUAUCAGGAGGAACACCAGUGGCGAAGGCGGUUCUCUGGGCCUUUCCUGACGCUGAGGAGCGAAAGCGUGGGGAGCGAACAGGCUUAGAUACCCUGGUAGUCCACGCUGUAAACGGUGGGUACUAGGUGUGGGGUCCAUUCCACGGGGUUCCGUGCCGUANCUAAC